rnacentral:rRNA from 1 species
AAUAGAUACCCUGGUAGUCCACGCCGUAAACGAUGAGUGCUAAGUGUUAGAGGGUUUCCGCCCUUUAGUGCUGAAGUUAACGCAUUAAGCACUCCGCCUGGGGAGUACGGCCGCAAGGCUGAAACUCAAAGGAAUUGACAGGGGGCCCGCACAAGCGGUGGAGCAUGUGGUUUAAUUCGAAGCAACGCGAAGAACCUUACCAGGUCUUGACAUCCUCUGACAACCCUAGAGAUAGGGCUUCUCCUUCGGGGAGCAGAGUGACAGGUGGUGCAUGGUUGUCGUCAGCUCGUGUCGUGAGAUGUUGGGUUAAGUCCCGCAACGAGCGCAACCCUUGAUCUUAGUUGCCAUCAUUAAGUUGGGCACUCUAAGGUGACUGCCGGUGAAAACCGGAGGAAGGUGGGGAUGACGUCAAAUCAUCAUGCCCCUUAUGACCUGGGGCUACACACGUGCUACAAUGGACGGUACAAAGAGCUGCAAGACCGCGAGGUGGAGCUAAUCUCAUAAACCGUUCUCAGUUCGGA